rnacentral:rRNA from 1 species
AGACGGAGGGAGCAAGCGUUGCUCGGAAUUACUGGGCGUAAAGGGCGUCUAGGCGGGACGGUAAGUCGGAUGUGAAAGCCCUGGGCUCAACCCAGGGAGUGCAUUCGAAACUACCGUUCUUGAGUGUGGCAGAGGAGAGCGGAAUUCCCGGUGUAGCGGUGAAAUGCGUAGAUAUCGGGAAGAACACCAGUGGCGAAGGCGGCUCUCUGGGCCACUACUGACGCUAAAGCGCGAAAGCUAGGGGAGCAAACGGGAUUAGAUACCCGGGUAGUCC